rnacentral:misc_RNA from 1 species
CGUCGAAGGUGGGGCUGAUGACUGGGGUGAAGUCGUAACAAGGUAUCCGUACCGGAAGGUGCGGAUGGAUCACCUCCUAACAGGGAGACAACACAAUGAUUUUGAUGCCUGAGUGCUUUUAUUCUUAGGCCGAAAUCCUGUCACCUUAGGUCGAUCGGUACCUCAGCUUUGAAGUCAAGGAUUAGCAUCAAUGUUGAUUGCUUGAUAGAGAUUUUCAGUUCCUAAACUUUGUCUAGGUCACACCCCAAAAGGGAUGAGACUCCUGGGCCAUUAGCUCAGGUGGUUAGAGCGCACCCCUGAUAAGGGUGAGGUCCCUGGUUCAAGUCCAGGAUGGCCCAUUCGGUGUUGGGGGUUUAGCUCAGUUGGUAGAGCGCCUGCUUUGCAAGCAGGAUGUCAGGAGUUCGAGUCUCCUAACCUCCACUGACCGAACUUGAUUCCCAUCUCCAAUACUUUUGGAGUUGAGCUCGAUUGGAGUGUGAUUUAGAUGUGUCCGCUGGAUGACCCCAGCUUCCUGUCAUUCCAAGUUCUAGGUUGAUGUCUUGAAUUUGGUUGAUAAGAUGCUGGGCUCGGAUCAAAUAAUCAAGUAAUUGAUGAUUUGAUUUGAAGUUCUAGCAGAACCUUGACAACUGCAUAGGUGAGUCUGGAAAAAACAAAGCAUCUUACAGAUGCAUUGUUUUGAAUCUGAUCUUCUGAGAGGGAGAUUAGAUCUAGAACAAUGAAAAUUCUUUUGAGCAAGAGCCGAGACUCUUGAAUGUUCUUUGAUUCGUGUCGAGCGAAUCAGAGUUUGAUCUUGUUUUUAGCAAUAAAAACUUGAGAAUCUGCUUUCAACGGCGGUAAGCGUUCAGGAGGUUAAUUGGUCAAGCUACAAAGGGCUCA